rnacentral:rRNA from 1 species
GAUGAACGCUGGCGGCGUGCCUAAUACAUGCAAGUAGAACGCUGAAGGAAGGAGCUUGCUCUUUCCGGAUGAGUUGCGAACGGGUGAGUAACGCGUAGGUAACCUACCUGGUAGCGGGGGAUAACUAUUGGAAACGAUAGCUAAUACCGCAUAACAGUAGAUGUUGCAUGAUAUCUACUUAAAAGGUGCAAUUGCACCACUACCAGAUGGACCUGCGUUGUAUUAGCUAGUUGGUGAGGUAACGGCUCACCAAGGCGACGAUACAUAGCUGACCUGAGAGGGUGAUCGGCCACACUGGGACUGAGACACGGCCCAGACUCCUACGGGAGGCAGCAGUAGGGAAUCUUCGGCAAUGGACGGAAGUCUGACCGAGCAACGCCGCGUGAGUGAAGAAGGUUUUCGGAUCGUAAAGCUCUGUUGUAAGAGAAGAACGAGUGUGAGAGUGGAAAGUUCACACUGUGACGGUAUCUUACCAGAAAGGGACGGCUAACUACGUG